GAGUUUGAUCUUGGCUCAGAGCGAACGCUGGCGGCAGGCCUAAUACAUGCAAGUCGAACGGAUCCUUCGGGAUUAGUGGCGGACGGGUGAGUAACACGUGGGAACGUGCCCUUUGGUUCGGAACAACUCAGGGAAACUUGAGCUAAUACCGAAUGUGCCCUUCGGGGGAAAGAUUUAUCGCCAUUGGAGCGGCCCGCGUCUGAUUAGCUAGUUGGUGGGUAAAGGCCCACCAAGGCGACGAUCAGUAGCUGGUCUGAGAGGAUGAUCAGCCACACUGGGACUGAGACACGGCCCAGACUCCUACGGGAGGCAGCAGUAGGGAAUCUUGCGCAAUGGGCGGAAGCCUGACGCAGCCAUGCCGCGUGAAUGAUGAAGGUCUUAGAUUGUAAAAUUCUUUCAGCGGGACGAUAAU
rnacentral:rRNA from 1 species